GCGGGUUUGGCGGAAUUGGCAGACGCACCAGGAUUAAGAUCUGGCGCUGAACGGCGUGGGGGUUCAAGUCCUUAACCCGCA
rnacentral:tRNA from 1 species